rnacentral:sRNA from 1 species
AAUCAUCGACGGGCGCACUCCUCCUCCCGAGCGCCCACGAUGGGACCAGCAACACCUCCUCCUCCCGGUUGUUGGUCAGUUUCAGAAGCCCGGCGCACCUCCUCCCGCGCCGGGCUUUCUGC